CAAAGUCCUUCAUGCAUGCUGCUUCACUGAGGAAUUCUUCUAUCUCUCUAUGGGAAAAGUUAUCCAACUUCAUGGUCUUGACAGCCACCUUCUGUGGGGUGCCUUCUGGCUGGCUGAGACGUCCCUCCAUCACUGACCCGAACUCCCCCUCUCCCAGGACCUUCCCCAGGCUGAGGGCAUUUCUGUCAAUGACAACGUCCUGCAGCUUCUGCUGGAGCUCGCUGCUGACUCCCAGGCUACCCAAUGUCAGUUCGACGGCUCUCCGGCAGUAGGACUUCUUGGCUGUGUAGUUUACCACCAGCUCUGAAUCAUUUCUGCUGAAGGCAUUCCCAUACUUUGUUUCCAUGCAUCUUUUCUGGAUGACCACAGACAAGCAGAGGAUCAGCCCAACAGCAACCGUACCACAGACGAAGCCCAGUGCUACUAUAAAGGAGUCUGUGUUCCCAGAUGCUGGUGUCGAAGAG
rnacentral:lncRNA from 1 species